GACGAACGCUGGCGGCGUGCUUAACACAUGCAAGUCGAACGGAAAGGCCCUGCUUUUGUGGGCUGCUCGAGUGGCGAACGGGUGAGUAACACGUGAGUAACCUGCCCUUGACUUUGGUAUAACUUCAGGAAACUGGGGCUAAUACCGGAUAGGAGCUCAUGCUGCAUGGAGGGGGUUGGAAAGUUUCGGCGGUUGGGGAUGGACUCGCGGCUUAUCAGCUUGUUGGUGGGGUAGUGGCUUACCAAGGCUUUGACGGGUAGCCGGCCUGAGAGGGUGACCGGCCACAUUGGGACUAAGAUACGGCCCAGACUCCUACGGGGGGCAGCAGUGGGGAAUAUUGCACAAUGGUCGGAAGCCUGAUGCAGCAACGCCGCGUGCGGGAUGACGGCCUUCGGGUUGUAAACCGCUUUCGCCUGUGACGAAGCGUGAGUGACGGUAAUGGGUAAAGAAGCACCGGCUAACUACGUG
rnacentral:rRNA from 1 species